ACGCUGGCGGCAGGCUUAACACAUGCAAGUCGAACGGUAACAGGGAUUAGCUUGCUAAUUUGCUGACGAGUGGCGGACGGGUGAGUAAUGCUUGGGAAUCUGGCUUAUGGAGGGGGAUAACUACGGGAAACUGUAGCUAAUACCGCGUAAAAUCUUCGGAUUAAAGGGUGGGACUUUCGGGCCACCUGCCAUGAGAUGAGCCCAAGUGGGAUUAGGUAGUUGGUUAGGUAAAGGCUGACCAAGCCGACGAUCUCUAGCUGGUCUGAGAGGAUGACCAGCCACACUGGAACUUAGACACGGUCCAGACUCCUACGGGAGGCAGCAGUGGGGAAUAUUGCACAAUGGGGGGAACCCUGAUGCAGCCAUGCCGCGUGAAUGAAGAAGGCCUUCGGGUUGUAAAGUUCUUUCGGUGACGAGGAAGGUUGGUAUGUUAAUAGCAUAUCAAAUUGACGUUAAUCACAGAAGAAGCACCGGCUAACUCCGUGCCAGCAGCCGCGGUAAUACGGGGGGUGCGAGCGUUAAUCGGAAUAACUGGGCGUAAAGGGCACGCAGGCGGUGACUUAAGUGAGAUGUGAAAGCCCCGGGCUUAACCUGGGAAUUGCAUUUCAUACUGGGUCGCUAGAGUACUUUAGGGAGGGGUAGAAUUCCACGUGUAGCGGUGAAAUGCGUAGAGAUGUGGAGGAAUACCGAAGGCGAAGGCAGCCCCUUGGGAAUGUACUGACGCUCAUGUGCGAAAGCGUGGGGAGCAAACAGGAUUAGAUACCCUGGUAGUCCACGCUGUAAACGAUGUCGAUUUGGGGAUUGGGCUUUAAGCUUGGUGCCCGUAGCUAACGUGAUAAAUCGACCGCCUGGGGAGUACGGCCGCAAGGUUAAAACUCAAAUGAAUUGACGGGGGCCCGCACAAGCGGUGGAGCAUGUGGUUUAAUUCGAUGCA
rnacentral:rRNA from 1 species